rnacentral:rRNA from 1 species
ACAACUCUCAGCAGUGGAUGUGUAGGCUCGCAUAUCGAUGAAGAACGGUGCGAUGUGAGAUACGUAAUGUGAAUUGCAGGACUGAGUGCGUCAUGNNAAUUUUGAACGCAUAUCGCACUUUCGGGUUAUACUAGGAAGUAUACUAGUAUCAGUGUCGGUA